GAUGAACGCUGGCGGCGUGCCUAAUACAUGCAAGUCGAGCGAACAGACGCGGAGCUUGCUCCUCUGACGUUAGCGGCGGACGGGUGAGUGACACGUGGAUAACCUACCUAUAAGACUGGGAUAACUUCGGGAAACCGGAGCUAAUACCGGAUAAUAUAUUGAACCGCAUGGUUCAAUAGUGAAAGACGGUUUUGCUGUCACUUAUAGAUGGAUCCGCGCCGCAUUAGCUAGUUGGUAAGGUAACGGCUUACCAAGGCGACGAUGCGUAGCCGACCUGAGAGGGUGAUCGGCGACACUGGAGCUGAGACACGGUCCAGACUCCUGCGGGAGGCAGCAGUAGGGAAUCUUCCGCAAUGGGCGAAAGCCUGACGGAGCGACGCCGCGUGAGUGAUGAAGGUCUUCGGAUCGUAAAACUCUGUUAUUAGGGAAGAACAAAUGUGUAAGUAACUAUGCACGUCUUGACGGUACCUAAUCAGAAAGCCACGGCUAACUACGUG
rnacentral:rRNA from 1 species